rnacentral:rRNA from 1 species
ACGCUGGCGGCAGGCCUAACACAUGUAAGUCGAGCGGUAGAGAGAAGCUUGCUUCUCUUGAGAGCGGCGGACGGGUGAGUAAUGCCUAGGAAUCUGCCUGGUAGUGGGGGAUAACGUUCGGAAACGGACGCUAAUACCGCAUACGUCCUACGGGAGAAAGCAGGGGACCUUCGGGCCUUGCGCUAUCAGAUGAGCCUAGGUCGGAUUAGCUAGUUGGUGGGGUAAUGGCUCACCAAGGCGACGAUCCGUAACUGGUCUGAGAGGAUGAUCAGUCACACUGGAACUGAGACACGGUCCAGACUCCUACGGGAGGCAGCAGUGGGGAAUAUUGGACAAUGGGCGAAAGCCUGAUCCAGCCAUGCCGCGUGUGUGAAGAAGGUCUUCGGAUUGUAAAGCACUUUAAGUUGGGAGGAAGGGUUGUAGAUUAAUACUCUGCAAUUUUGCCGUUACCGACAGAAUAAGCACCGGCUAACUCUGUGCCAGCAGCCGCGGUAAUACAGAGGGUGCAAGCGUUAAUCGGAAUUACUGGGCGUAAAGCGCGCGUAGGUGGUUAGUUAAGUUGGAUGUGAAAUCCCCGGGCUCAACCUGGGAACUGCAUUCAAAACUGACUGACUAGAGUAUGGUAGAGGGUGGUGGAAUUUCCUGUGUAGCGGUGAAAUGCGUAGAUAUAGGAAGGAACACCAGUGGCGAAGGCGACCACCUGGACUGAUACUGACACUGAGGUGCGAAAGCGUGGGGAGCAAACAG